CACGUAGGGUGCAAGCGUUGUCCGGAAUUAUUGGGCGUAAAGAGCUCGUAGGCGGCUCGGCACGUCUGCUGUGAAAUCCCGAGGCUCAACCUCGGGCCUGCAGUGGGUACGGGCAGACUGGAGUGCGGUAGGGGAGAAUGGAAUUCCUGGUGUAGCGGUGAAAUGCGCAGAUAUCAGGAGGAACACCGGUGGCGAAGGCGCCACUCUGGGCCGGUACUGACGCUGAGGAGCGAAAGCGUGGGUAGCAAACAGG
rnacentral:rRNA from 1 species